UGGGGAAUUUUGGACAAUGGGCGAAAGCCUGAUCCAGCAAUGCCGCGUGUGUGAAGAAGGCCUUCGGGUUGUAAAGCACUUUUGUCCGGAAAGAAAUCCUUGGCUCUAAUACAGUCGGGGGAUGACGGUACCGGAAGAAUAAGCACCGGCUAACUACGUGCCAGCAGCCGCGGUAAUACGUAGGGUGCAAGCGUUAAUCGGAAUUACUGGGCGUAAAGCGUGCGCAGGCGGUUUGCUAAGACCGAUGUGAAAUCCCCGGGCUCAACCUGGGAACUGCAUUGGUGACUGGCAGGCUAGAGUAUGGCAGAGGGGGGUAGAAUUCCACGUGUAGCAGUGAAGUGCGUAGAGAUGUGGAGGAAUACCGAUGGCGAAGGCAGCCCCCUGGGCCAAUACUGACGCUCAUGCACGAAAGCGUGGGGAGCAAACAGGAUUAGAUACCCUGGUAGUCCACGCCCUAAACGAUGUCAACUAGUUGUUGGGGAUUCAUUUCCUUAGUAACGUAGCUAACGCGUGAAGUUGACCGCCUGGGGAGUACGGUCGCAAGAUUAAAAC
rnacentral:rRNA from 1 species